UACAGAGGGGGCAAGCGUUGUUCGGAAUUACUGGGCGUAAAGGGCGCGUAGGCGGCCUGCUAAGUCGAACGUGAAAUCCCCGGGCUCAACCCGGGAACUGCGUCCGAUACUGGCAGGCUUGAAUCCGGGAGAGGGAUGCGGAAUUCCAGGUGUAGCGGUGAAAUGCGCAGAUAUCAGGAGGAACACCGGUGGCGAAGGCGGGUCUCUGGGCCGAUACUGACGCUGAGGAGCGAAAGCGUGGGGAGCGAACAGG
rnacentral:rRNA from 1 species